rnacentral:pre_miRNA from 1 species
UAUGUACUUCCUUCGUUUCAAAUUACUUGUCGCAGGUAUUGAUGUAUCUAGAUGUAUUUUAGUUCUAGAUACAUCCAUUUCUACGACGAGUAAUAUAGAACGGAGAGAGUACCUU